AUAAAGUUUUAUUCUGACUUAAAAUUUAAGUUUUAUAUAACCUUAUAUGUAAUAAUUAUGAGUAUUUAAGUCUUAAUGAUGAUUUGUUUUAUCGCAGUAUUUAAUAUUAAAAAUUAUAAAAUUUAGAUUUAGUUAUUUUAUUUAUAUGGGACAAAAAUCGUGCCAGCAGUCGCGGUUAUACAAUUUCAUAAAUUUAAAUAUUUUGGUUUCAGUUAAAUUUGAAUUUUUAUAUUAACAAAAUAGAAAAUUUUGGUAGAAUAAUAUUUUCUAUAUUAAUAUAUAUUUUGCCUGAAAAAUCUAAUUUAUAAACUAGGAUUAGAUACCCUACUAUUUUAGAUGUUAAUUAAAUUAACCUGAUUAUUAAUAGUUAAGAUCUUUAAAUUCAAAGAAUUUGGCGGUAACUUAUAUUAUCAGAGGAACCUGUUUCAUAAUCGAUAGUCCACGAUAGAUUAUACUUAAUUUACACUUGUAUAUCUCUGUUAAGAAUGUUCUAUAAGGAUGAAUUUUCAUUUAUUAAUAAAAAAUUUAAUAUCAGGUCAAGGUGCAGUUUAUAAUUAAGAAGAAGUGGGUUACAAUUAAUAUUAAAUUAAAUUAUUGUCUAAGUGAUACUAUAAAAGUGGAUUUGAAAGUAAAAUCUAAUAAAUUUUUUAGUUUGAAAUAAUCUCCAAGUUAUGUACACAUCGCCCGUCACUCUCAUUUUAAGAUGAGAUAAGUCGUAACAAAGUAGUUGUACCGGAAGGUGUGGCUAGAAU
rnacentral:ncRNA from 1 species